rnacentral:lncRNA from 1 species
UGGUGGGUAGUUUGGCUAGAGUGGUCUUUCGUUUGGUUCGGGUAUAAAUAAGAACUGGUUAUAUCGAGAAUAGGUAUAAGAAUAGAUUUUCGUAGGAACAAGAGUAUUUUUUUAUUUGGAUGAAAAUGGGAGUAUGAGCUGGAACUAGAAAAAUUAUGUUUGGAUGAAAAUCUUUGUAUCAGGUGAAAUAAUUGGUAGUUAUAGAUAGAAAAUAGUGAUUUCGCCCCUAUAAUUGAAUUUAACAUUUAAAACUAAUAAUUUUAAAUUAAAAGUUUUAACCUUUAAAUUUUAAAAUUUGAAAUUAAAAUUAAAACUUAUAAUUUUCAAAAUUUAAAUUUUAAAUAUCAAAUUUAAAAUUUAAAAUCAAAUUUAAAUUUGAAAGAUAUAAAAUAUUAAAUUUUAAAUUUUAAAUCUAAAAAGUUAAAUUUAAAAUUUAAAAAUAAUAAAUAUCAAAUUUAUAAUAUAAAUAUUAAAAUUUAUAAUUUACAAUUAUAAAUUUAAAUUUUUUAAAAAUAAAUUAUAAAUUUUAGAAAUUUAAAUUAAAAAUCACUCUCUCUCUCUCUCUCUAUAUAUAU